UACGUAGGGGCCGAGCGUUGUCCGGAGUUACUGGGCGUAAAGGGCGCGUAGGCGGCCAACUAAGUCAGACGUGAAAUCCCUCGGCUCAACCGGGGAACUGCGUCUGAUACUGGAUGGCUUGAAUUCGGGAGAGGGAUGCGGAAUUCCAGGUGUAGCGGUGAAAUGCGUAGAUAUCUGGAGGAACACCGGUGGCGAAGGCGGCAUCCUGGACCGAGAUUGACGCUGAUGCGCGAAAGCCAGGGGAGCAAACGGG
rnacentral:rRNA from 1 species